GACGAACGCUGGCGGCAGGCCUAACACAUGCAAGUCGAACGAAGUCUUCGGACUUAGUGGCGGACGGGUGAGUAACACGUGGGAACGUGCCCUUAGGUUCGGAAUAACUCAGGGAAACUUGUGCUAAUACCGAAUGUGCCCUUCGGGGGAAAGAUUUAUCGCCUUUAGAGCGGCCCGCGUCUGAUUAGCUAGUUGGUGGGGUAAUGGCCCACCAAGGCUACGAUCAGUAGCUGGUCUGAGAGGAUGACCAGCCACAUUGGGACUGAGACACGGCCCAAACUCCUACGGGAGGCAGCAGUGGGGAAUCUUGCGCAAUGGGCGAAAGCCUGACGCAGCCAUGCCGCGUGGAUGAUGAAGGUCUUAGGAUUGUAAAAUCCUUUCACCGGUGAAGAUAAUGACUGUAGCCGGAGAAGAAGCCCCGGCUAACUUCGUGCCAGCAGCCGCGGUAA
rnacentral:rRNA from 1 species